UACGAAGGGGGCUAGCGUUGCUCGGAAUUACUGGGCGUAAAGCGCACGUAGGCGGCUUCUUAAGUCGGUGGUGAAAUCCUCGGAGCUCAACUCCAGAACUGCCUUCGAUACUGGGAAGCUCGAGUCCGGGAGAGGUGAGUGGAACGUGCGAGUGUAGAGGUGAAAUUCGUAGAUAUUGGGAAGAACACCGGGUGGCGAAGGCGGCGACCUGGUCCUUUACUGACGCUGAGCGCGAAGCGUGGGGAGCAAACAGG
rnacentral:rRNA from 1 species